GAGUUUGAUCAUGGCUCAGAUUGAACGCUGGCGGCAUGCCUUACACAUGCAAGUCGAACGGCAGCAUGAUCUAGCUUGCUAGAUUGAUGGCGAGUGGCGAACGGGUGAGUAAUACAUCGGAACGUGCCCUGUAGUGGGGAGUAACUAGUCGAAAGAUUAGCUAAUACCGCAUACGACCUGAGGGUGAAAGUGGGGGACCGCAAGGCCUCAUGCUAUAGGAGCGGCCGAUGUCUGAUUAGCUAGUUGGUGGGGUAAAGGCCCACCAAGGCGACGAUCAGUAGCUGGUCUGAGAGGACGAUCAGCCACACUGGGACUGAGACACGGCCCAGACUCCUACGGGAGGCAGCAGUGGGGAAUUUUGGACAAUGGGCGAAAGCCUGAUCCAGCAAUGCCGCGUGUGUGAAGAAGGCCUCGGUU
rnacentral:rRNA from 1 species